GCCAGCUUGGCAUAGCUGUUUGAGCAAUGGAUUAGGACUCCAAGAGUCCAGGGUUCAAAUCCCUGCUUGGCC